rnacentral:rRNA from 1 species
CGUGCAGGCGGUUCUGAAAGUUGGAUGUGAAAGCUCCUGGCCCAACUAGGAGAGGCCAUUCAAAACUACAGGGCUAGAGGAUGGUAGAGGCAAAUGGAAUUCCCGGUGUAGUGGUGAAAUGCGUAGAUAUCGGGAGGAACACCAGAGGCGAAGGCGGUUUGCUGGGCCAGACCUGACGCUAAGACGCGAAAGCCAGGGGAGAGAACG